rnacentral:lncRNA from 1 species
UCUUAACACUUUGUAAUAACACUCAUUUAUUCUCCCUUGCCUCAUCAGAACCUCACAAUAGUCAUUAGAAUAAACCCAAACUUCCUAUCAUAUGUCCUGUUAAUGACUCCCCAGCUUCCUCUGACUCUCAACCACAGAUAAGAAGCCAUACCAAAUUGUUUGCUAAGUAUUCUAUUCCAUGUUUUGGUAAAGUCCUUAUUCCACUCUUUUAUCUAGCUAACGCCUACCCAUAUUUCAUGAAAUAUUUUAAAUCUUAUCUCCUUAAAAAAUCAACCCAGACACCAUAUGCAGAUAGCCCAACCUCCCCAUCUUCAUUACUUUCAUUGUACCCUGUGUAUGCCUCCAUAGUUACGUAUUGUACUGUUUUGCUGUGGUCUGUAUUUUGGCACUAGACUCAUCUUCCAGUAAUGAACCAUGUUUUUAAUUAAUGUAUUCUUCAGUAUUUAUAACAGUGCUAGAUAUUAGUCACUAAUGUCAAGUUAGAAGAAAAGAAUGGAGAAGGAGAGAGAGAAACAAAGGAAGGGAAGGAAGGAGGAACAGAGGGAGGAAUCAACAUAUAUGUUACUAUGCCAGACCAGCAUCCAUCCAUCCAUCCAUCCAUCCAUCCAUCCAUCCAUCCAUUCAUAUAUUUACCAGGUUUGCUUUUCUUUCUUCUUUCAUUAAACAGCAUUUAUUGGACCCUGCUGUCUGCCAGAUGGCAACUCAAUAUUAGGAAUACUGAAAUAAAUAACAUAUGGUCUCCAAGAAACUGAAAGUGUGUCUAAAAGAAAGAAAGAAAGAGAAAAUCUAAAACAUCUUAGUAAAAUCAUACAGAGGACUAUGGAGAAAGAGCUAUGGCUUGGGCUAAUGAGGUUUGUGCACAAUCUUCAAUUUCUACCCUCUAGACUAACUUUUGCAGACCACUUUGGGUAUCUAGUACAGCCAAUAAGCCCCCUCCUCCAUAGUGAUACAUUGUGAUAGAAGUUAUCGCAACCAUUAAAAACUGCUGUCUCUCUGUGUGUCAGCAGAUCUCCGUUUUUUCUUUCAAGAAUAGUCCAUAAUAAUGUCAUAAGAAAAUACAUUCCAAAGAAUCCUUGGAUUAGACAAGCACCAGAGA